CCUAAUACAUGCAAGUCGAGCGAACAGAUAAGGAGCUUGCUCCUUUGACGUUAGCGGCGGACGGGUGAGUAACACGUGGGUAACCUACCUAUAAGACUGGGAUAACUUCGGGAAACCGGAGCUAAUACCGGAUAACAUUUGGAACCGCAUGGUUCUAAAGUGAAAGAUGGUUUUGCUAUCACUUAUAGAUGGACCCGCGCCGUAUUAGCUAGUUGGUAAGGUAACGGCGUUACCAAGGCAACGAUACGUAGCCGACCUGAGAGGGUGAUCGGCCACACUGGAACUGAGACACGGUCCAGACUCCUACGGGAGGCAGCAGUAGGGAAUCUUCCGCAAUGGGCGAAAGCCUGACGGAGCAACGCCGCGUGAGUGAUGAAGGGUUUCGGCUCGUAAAACUCUGUUAUUAGGGAAGAACAAAUGUGUAAGUAACUGUGCACAUCUUGACGGUACCUAAUCAGAAAGCCACGGCUAACUACGUGCCAGCAGCCGCGGUAAUACGUAGGUGGCAAGCGUUAUCCGGAAUUAUUGGGCGUAAAGCGCGCGUAGGCGGUUUUUUAAGUCUGAUGUGAAAGCCCACGGCUCAACCGUGGAGGGUCAUUGGAAACUGGAAAACUUGAGUGCAGAAGAGGAAAGUGGAAUUCCAUGUGUAGCGGUGAUAUGCGCAGAGAUAUGGAGGUACACCAGUGGCGAAGGCGACUUUCU
rnacentral:rRNA from 1 species